ensembl:lncRNA
CAAAUGCUGAUGGCUUUAUUUGAAGCUGAAAUAAGUGGGAGUGUAAGAUACACAAAGGUUUAGAGAGCAUGGUGUUUCAAGUGAGUUGUCUUUAAAUCCAAUGGUUUGAGGGUUUAAGCCUGAAGCAAGGGUCACUUGGGGUGUUUGUCCAGGCCAAAGGCCGAAGGUCAAAGCCCAGACAUGGGGUUUGGUCAGUGCAAAGCUCAGAGGGGCGUGGAGAUUUGAGAGUGAAACGAGGUCAACGGAGAAUUCAUUCGGCGUCAGAGUCACCAGCAGCACCAGUGAUGGUGUAGGUCUGUUCCUGGUGGUCCAUCUCCAGCACAUCAUCCUCUUUUUUAAUUGUUCUGUAGAGGAGAAGAAAGAGAUGUUUUUUAAAGAUGUGAGUUCACCUAAAUCCUGCUUCUCACAGAACUAUCAUCAUAGUCUUUAAGAAUCCAGACACUUUCUAAGCAUGAAUGUUCCAUCAGGGAAAAGAUACCUGGUGGUACCUUUACCUAAUAAGCACUGUCCUUCUCUCCGUCAGCUCCACAGCCUGCUCUGCAUAGGUUUCAAUGUUGCCAUCAUAUCCAUCCGAUCCAAAUCCAAUUCUGGCCCCUUUGCCUCCACCAAUUUUCCCCAUUCCUUUAGAAUCUAGUAAAGUGCUUCCAUCCCCAAGGCUUUUCCCUUCACCUGUAACACCAUGUCCUCUUUCAGGGUCGUGACCUAUCCCUGUCAAGCCAAUCAUGCUGGCAGCUAAGGCUGCAGCGUCCCCACCUACUGCUAUUCCAGUGCUGCCACCUUCAAUACUGAAUCCAGACUUUCCCAAAUGAGCGGCAGCAGAAUCCAAGUCAGCCCCAGAACUCAGACAUCCAGCUUGAGCGUCAAGACUUCCAACUUGAGCACCAAGACCUCCAGUCCCAACACCAAGACCUCCAGCCUGAGCACCAAGACCUCCGGGUCCAACACCAAGACCUCCGGGUCCAACACCAAGACCUCCAGGGCCAACACCAAGACCUCCGCCCUGAACACCCAGACCUCCAGGUCCAACACCAGGACCUCCAGCCUGAACACCCAGACCUCCAGGUCCAACACCAGGACCUCCAGCCUGAACACCCAGACCUCCAGUCCCUACACCAAGACCUCCGCCCUGAACACCCAGACCCCCAGGUCCAACACCAGGACCUCCAGCCUGAACACCCAGACCUCCGGUCAACACCAAGACCUCCAGCCUGAACACCCAGACCUCCAGUCCCACACCAAGACCUCCGCCCUGAACACCCAGACCCCCAGGCCCAACACCAAGACCUCCAGCCUGAGCACUAAGACCUCCAGCCUGAACACCCACACCUCCAGUCCCAACACCCAGACCUCCAGCCUGAGCAUUAAGACCUCCAGCCUGAACACCCAGACCUCCAGCCUGAACACCCAGACCUCCAUCUAGAGCACCAAGACCUCCAGCCAGAGCAUCAGAACUUCCAGCCCCAACACCCAGACCUCCAACAACAAGACCUCCAGCCUGAGCACCCACAGUUCCAGCACCAAGACCUAAACCUCCUCCCUGAGAGACCAAGCCUCCAGCCCCAGAACGGACACCAUCACCCUCUCCUCCAGUGCCAGUGUCAGGAACAAAGUCUCCAGAAGCCAAGCCUGCUCCUUGACGGCCGCCAGCAGUACCCACACCCCCAGUAGUUGCUCUAACAUCUCGAGUCUCAGCUCCAAAUUCAUGACUACCAGCCAUGACCUCCUCCCCUACUUUAGUCGAAAUAUCCAUCCGGCCACUGUGACCUUGAGAAUCGGUUCUAUUAGCAAGGCCAUCGAUGUCAGGAGCAGCUGCCAUUCCUCUCGUAGCUAGGGCUCUACUUGUUUCUCGGUCCCCCCCAACGCCUCCAAGACCAUCUCUACUGCCUCCCAUCGGUCCCCCGCCCGUUCCACCUACACCGUCCAUGCUUCCUCCACUGAGGCUCACACCAGCACCAACAGCACUCAUGCUACAGCUGGUAAGAGACAAGGUUUGGAUCAUGCCAGAGAGCCGCAGGUCUUCACCCUCAAUCAGUUUCCUGCAAGACAAACAGAAAAAGUCACGUGUGAUUAUUCUGUGAACAAAUGACAGCCUUUAUGGCUGCUCUUCAUCUACCUGUAAGUUGUGAUUUCAAUCUCCAGAGCCAUCUUGAUAUUCAGUAGUUCCUGGUACUCGCGCAGGUGCAGUGCAAUUUUCCCCUUGGUGGAUUUCAGCUCAAGCUGGAGGGCUUCAAUUCGAGCCUGUUGGUUAAGAACAUGCAUCCAAUAACCCAGUAAAUGAGAGGUCAGGCCAAUAAAGCUUAGACCUAUAGACACAAACUGGUCAGUCUUACCUGCAGGUCCUCCAGUUCCUUCUUGUACUUUUCUUGCAUCUCUCUGAUCUGAGCUUCAAGAGCUUCAUUUUUAGUCCUCAUGGCGUCCAAAUCACGUUCUUUAUUUUGGAUCUGGGGAUAUUGUUUUAUUUAUUUUUUCAUUUUGUUGCCCAAAUUAGUUUUUAUUUUUAUUUUUUCUUCUGUCACUUUAAAUCCGGGGUGUCAAACUCAACCGCACAGGGGGCCAAAAUCCAAAACACACCUUAGGUCGCGGGCCGAACAGG